GCCUCGAUGGCUAAGCGGUUAAGGCGUCGCACUUGUAUACCAUAUGUAAUGCGAAGAUCACAAGUUCAAAUCUUGUUCGAGGCA
rnacentral:tRNA from 1 species